rnacentral:rRNA from 1 species
GACGAACGCUGGCGGCGUGCUUAACACAUGCAAGUCGAACGGAAAGGCCCUGCUUUUGUGGGGUGCUCGAGUGGCGAACGGGUGAGUAACACGUGAGUAACCUGCCCUUGACUUUGGGAUAACUUCAGGAAACUGGGGCUAAUACCGGAUAGGAGCUCCUGCUGCAUGGUGGGGGUUGGAAAGUUUCGGCGGUUGGGGAUGGACUCGCGGCUUAUCAGCUUGUUGGUGGGGUAGUGGCUUACCAAGGCUUUGACGGGUAGCCGGCCUGAGAGGGUGACCGGCCACAUUGGGACUGAGGUACGGCCCAGACUGCUACGGGAGGCAGCAGUGGGGAAUAUGGCGCAAUGGGCGGAAGCCUGAUGCAGCAACGCCGCGUGCGGGAUGACGGCCUUCGGGUUGUAAACCGCUUUCGCCUGUGACGAAGCGUGAGUGACGGUAAUGGGUAAAGAAGCACCGGCUAACUACGUG